UGUGGGUGUGCUUCGAUGUGCGAACUCUGGCUGUGGACGUACGUGUCUGGUGGAUGAUGCACAGCCGCUUGAACGUGUUACUGCCGGUUGUGUUCUGAUUUGGGGUGCUGCUCGACCCCGUGGUGAUUGGUACACAAGGACGUCAGGUCGCACGAUAAAGACACAACCCUCCAUGACCUGAUGCAUCACCGGCGGGAAGAUCGCUCGGUUAUAACACGCCACGUACCAACCUAUCGUCCCCCGACAUCACCCAGAGCAGACGCGCCGGAAGGUGGGGGCACGGAAGUCGACAGCCUCCCUCGAGCUCGGGCUGUGGGUGCCGCGCCCCCAUUCCCCUUCAUGCAUAGAGAUCGGACAGGGUACCUGACAUUCUCUUAUAAAGCACGUUCUUUACA